CACGUAGGGGACGAGCGUUGUCCGGAUUCAUUGGGCGUAAAGCGCGCGUAGGCGGCUCGGAAAGUCGGGCGUGAAAUGCCGGGGCUCAACCCCGGGACUGCGUCCGAUACUUCCGAGCUGGAGGUAGGUAGGGGAGAUCGGAAUUCCUGGUGUAGCGGUGAAAUGCGCAGAUAUCAGGAGGAACACCGGUGGCGAAGGCGGACCCUG
rnacentral:rRNA from 1 species